UCACUCUGGAGAAGCUCAUGAACUGGGUGCCGAAGGGGCAAACCGGCGCGGCAGCGCGCCGUCAAUCUCUCAGGCAAAAGGACAGAGGAU
rnacentral:ncRNA from 1 species